rnacentral:rRNA from 1 species
UACAGAGGGUGCUAGCGUUGUUCGGAAUUAUUGGGCGUAAAGGGCGCGUAGGCGGUUUCGCAUGUCCGAUGUGAAAGCCCACCUCUUAAAGGUGGAAUUGCAUCGGAAACUGCGAGACUAGAGUGCCGGAGAGGGUGGUGGAAUUCCUGGUGUAGAGGUGAAAUUCGUAGAUAUUGGGAGGAACACCAGUGGCGAAGGCGGCUGCCUGGACCGGUUCUGACGCUGAGGCGCGAAAGCGUGGGUAGCAAACAGG